rnacentral:lncRNA from 1 species
UGUAAUUCUAGUACUGUUCAUCUAAAGGAAAGGUUAAACUAUUUGUUAGUACGUAAAUCAGGUCGUUAGUUUUUUCGUUUGAAAUAUUUUACAUUCGUCAUUUCGGGGCAUUUUAUUGCUUACUAUGCAGAUUAAUUGGUUUUUGCUCAUUGUUGAAGGUUCUACGGUGAAACAUAGUUGUUAAUUUCUACGUUAUUUGGUGUCUGGUGGAUAAUUGUUUCAUUUGCAAUCUCACCAUUUUUUAAAUUUUUAUAUCACAACGCAUAUAACACUUUUUAGUACACACACAACCUUUCUUAUUUAUUUAAUAAACGUCUUUUUUUGUUUUGUUUUUU